rnacentral:rRNA from 1 species
CCUACGAGUGGCAGCAGUGGGGAAUAUUGGGCAAUGGGCGCAAGCCUGACCCAGCAACGCCGCGUGAAGGAAGAAGGCUUUCGGGUUGUAAACUUCUAUUCUCAGGGACGAAGAAAGUGACGGUACCUGAGGAAUAAGCCACGGCUAACUACGUGCCAGCAGCCGCGGUAAUACGUAGGUGGCAAGCGUUAUCCGGUUUUACUGGGUGUAAAGGGCGUGUAGGCGGGACUGCAAGUCAGAUGUGAAAACCACGGGCUCAACCUGUGGCCUGCAUUUGAAACGGUAGUUCUUGAGUGCUGGGGAGGCAGACGGAAUUCCUAGUGUAGCGGUGAAAUGCGUAGAUAUUAGGAGGAACACCAGUGGCGAAGGCGGUCUGCUGGACAGCAACUGACGCUGAGGCGCGAAAGCGUGGGGAGCAAACAGGAUUAGAUACCCGGGUAGUC